rnacentral:lncRNA from 1 species
UUCAGUUUAUGUUUUGUUUUGGAUGGUUUCAAAGAAGCAUGGCGAUUCUGUUGAGUGAUGUGAAAUCUACAUUAGACAUCAGUAGUUUUUUCAAUAGAUCAGAUCAUGACGUAUUUCUGUCACUUCAAGAUCACGGAUUAUUGCGGCGAAGGAUGUACUGUACAAAAUCAACUUGUCGUAGACGAAUGAUUUUAACAGCAAGAAAAGACUGUAAGGGAGGUUUUGCAUUUCGUUGCCCUCGAUGCCGCUCCUUAAAGUCAGCCGUCUCAAAGACAUUUUUUUGACAAUACAGCAUUCAGAUCGGAAGAGC